UCGGGAAUAUUGCGGCAAUGGAGGAAACUCUGACGCAGUGACGCCGCGUGCAGGAAGAAGGUUUUCGGAUUGUAAACUGCUUUAGACAGGGAAGAAACAAGACAGUACCUGUAGAAUAAGCUCCGGCUAACUACGUGCCAGCAGCCGCGGUAAUACGUAGGGAGCAAGCGUUAUCCGGAUUUAUUGGGUGUAAAGGGUGCGUAGACGGGAAGGCAAGUUGGUUGUGAAAUCCCUCGGCUUAACUGAGGAACUGCAACCAAAACUAUCUUUCUUGAGUGCUGGAGAGGAAAGUGGAAUUCCUAGUGUAGCGGUGAAAUGCGUAGAUAUUAGGAGGAACACCAGUGGCGAAGGCGACUUUCUGGACAGUAACUGACGUUGAGGCACGAAAGUGUGGGGAGCAAACAGGAUUAGAUACCCUGGUAGU
rnacentral:rRNA from 1 species